rnacentral:rRNA from 1 species
AUACGGAGGGUGCGAGCGUUAAUCGGAAUUACUGGGCGUAAAGCGUGCGUAGGCGGUUUGCUAAGUCAGAUGUGAAAGCCCCGGGCUUAACCUGGGAACUGCAUUUGAUACUGGCAGACUAGAGUAUGAUAGAGGGGGGUAGAAUUCCUGGUGUAGCGGUGAAAUGCGUAGAUAUCAGGAGGAAUACCAGUGGCGAAGGCGGCCCCCUGGAUCAAUACUGACGCUGAGGUACGAAAGCGUGGGGAGCGAACAGGAUUAGAGACCCCAGUAGUCC